GACGAACGCUGACGGUGUGCUUUAGACAUGCAAGUCGAACGCGAAAGCCCUUCGGGGUUAGUAGAGUGGCGAACGGGUGAGUAACACGUGGGCAAUCUGCCCCUCGCAGGGGGACGAACCGGAGGAAACUCCGGCUAAUACCCCGUACGCUUGCUGGACCGCAUGGUCCGGCAAGGAAAGGUAGCUUCGGCCAUCCGGCGAGGGAUGAGCCCGCGGUGCAUUAGCUAGUUGGUGAGGUAACGGCCCACCAAGGCAACGAUGCAUAGCUGGUCUGAGAGGAUGAUCAGCCACACUGGGACUGAGACACGGCCCAGACUCCUACGGGAGGCAGCAGUCGGGAAUCUUGCGCAAUGGGCGAAAGCCUGACGCAGCAACACCGUGUGAGCGACGAAGGCC
rnacentral:rRNA from 1 species